rnacentral:rRNA from 1 species
UACGUAGGCAGCAAGCGUUGUUCGGAGUUACUGGGCGUAAAGGGUGUGUAGGCGGUUCUCUAAGUCUGGUGUGAAAUCUCCCGGCUCAACUGGGAGGGUGCGCCGAAAACUGGAGGACUAGAGUGCGGGAUGGGAGAGUGGAAUUCCUGGUGUAGCGGUGAAAUGCGUAGAUAUCGAGAGGAACACCUGCGGCGAAGGCGGGUUGCUGGGCUGACACUGACGCUGAAGCGCGAAAGCUAGGGGAGCGAACGGG